GAACGAGAAAGUGGAGCAAUCCAUGACUAAAGUGGCGACCGGNGUGAGUAACACGUGACUAACCUACCCUAGAGUGGGGGAUAACCUCGGGAAACCGGGGCUAAUACCGCAUAACAUCGCGAGGGGAAGAUCCUUGCGAUCAAAGGAGCAAUUCGCUCAAGGAGGGGGUCGCGGCUGAUUAGCUAGUUGGUGAGGUAACGGCUCACCAAGGCUUAGAUCAGUAUCCGGCCUGAGAGGGCGCACGGACACACUGGAACUGAAACACGGUCCAGACUCCUACGGGAGGCAGCAGUGGGGAAUUUUGCGCAAUGGGGGAAACCCUGACGCAGCAACGCCGCGUGGAGGAUGAAGCCCUUUGGGGCGUAAACUCCUUUCGACCAAGACGAUAAUGACGGUACUGGUGGAAGAAGCACCGGCUAACUCUGUG
rnacentral:rRNA from 1 species